rnacentral:misc_RNA from 1 species
UCCGGCUUAUCACCGGCAGUUUCUCUAGAGUGCCCAACUAAAUGGUAGCAACUAGAGACGAGGGUUGCGCUCGUUGCGGGACUUAACCCAACAUCUCACGACACGAGCUGACGACAGCCAUGCAGCACCUGUGUGUAGGUCCCUUACGGGAAGGAAUCCAUCUCUGGAAACCGUCCUACCAUGUCAAACGCUGGUAAGGUUCUUCGCGUUGCAUCGAAUUAAGCCACAUGCUCCGCCGCUUGUGCGGGUCCCCGUCAAUUCCUUUGAGUUUUAGCCUUGCGGCCGUACUCCCCAGGCGGGGCGCUCAAUGCGUUAGCUACGGCACAGGGAACCGGGAAGGCCCCCCACACCUAGCGCCCAACGUUUACAGCAUGGACUAC